AGACAUCCAAGGGCUUAGAACAGUGCUUGGCACAUAGUAAGUGCUAAAUGCAUCUGCCUAUUAUUAGAACACGGAGCUUAUUAUUAGAUCAUGGGUGAGUCAGAGGAUAGACAAUCAGGGAGUAACUAGGACCAUCUUAGAGCAAGUCAGGUGCCUCAGGCUAGCUAAAACAGAGGUAGGGACAGAGUGGGUAGAGAGGGAAGCCGCCGUGCAGUGGCCAGGACCAGCCUUGCAGCAGCAGUGGCGUAUGGGUGACCACAGGAACCACGGUGUGACCUCCACAGUAACCUGGAGGAAGGGUGUCGCUGGGCAGGGGAGGGUGGUGCAAAGGCCCGGAGAAAGAGAGUCUGGCCCAUCGGCUGGCGUGGCUGGAGUGUGGGGACAGAGAAGGGUUGUGCAGGGGAGACUGGAGUCCCUGGAGAGGCCAGGUUCCAGGGCAUUGAGAACCAUAGGAAGCACCUGGGCCUGUUCCCUUCCCAACCCUCAGGAUGGGCCACCCUUCACCCACAGCUGCACAUGAAUGCCCUUUGGUGCUGGCCUCCAGGGCGGGGAAACCAGGUUUCUGCAGGGAGGGGCAGGUCUGAGUGUUCUGCCUGGUGCACCCGCCCCCACCUGGGUGCACUCAGGGUGAGGCCUCUGUGCCCUGAGUCCACUCCAUCCUCUGUCUCAUCACUUCCAACUGGCUGAGGCCCCCUAUGGGCUCCUGGUGGGCGGGGCAGCUUCUGUGAGCUCUGCCACUGUGUCUGUGAGCUCAACACUGGCCAGCCCCCUCCAGCUUCUAGGGCCUGCAAGGAGGAGAAAGGCUAGCGCAAAGGGGAUGGAGAGAGACCUGCCUGUGCCAAGGGGUGAGUCCCCAGAUCCUGGAGGACAAGUUAGCCUGGCGAAGGAUGGCAGAGGACCCGGCCCAGGGGUCCCCAAAGUGGAGCACCAACGCUCCACGCAGGCCAAGUCACUGGAAAGAAAUCAGCUUGAUCAACACAUACUGUAAAGACCUCACCGCCCUCCGGAGGCCCUCCCUCGGCCCUGGUGCUGGGGGCAGCCAUGUCCCCUUGCAGCAGGGGGAGGCCUGAAGCACAGAAGGGCCCACACAGGUCCGUUCUGUUUCAGCGAAUUGCCUGGGAGCCGCUCAUGGUGCACAGUGCUAGGUAAAUACAGCGUCUCUGGAAUCGGCUCUGAUGAGGACUUGGAUACAGAAAUUACAGCUCAUCGAGAAGCCUGCUUGAAAUGUGGUUUACAUCCACGGCCGUGAACAUGGGCCCCACCUAGACAACAUCCCAGGGGGAAUAACAGGAGAAAAAGCAAGUGGGAGGAGACAGUGUGCUUUAUAUCUCCUUGUGAGAAAAACAAAAUGGAGUUAUGGUAUGUGUUAACACCUGCAUGGGAACCGGAGGGACAUGCAUGAUGCCAGCUUCUUUUUGAAGGGAGGCUGGCACUGUCACCUUUACGAGUCUCUGCUGCUUCGAGUUAUUGCAAUGAUUCCGCAUACAGUUAUAGUGAGAGAAAUAAGGAAUUUUUAAGCAUCUAGGGGUUUUUAAACCUUUUAUUUUGAAAUAAUUUUAGGUUUACUGAAGAACUGAAAGGUGGUGCAGAGAAUUCCUGUCCCUCAUGUUAACACAUCAUCUAACCAGGACACAACUGUCAGAACUGAGGAAUAGCUGUUGCCAUGCCACCAUGAACUAGAGUUCAGAUGUCCCCAGCAUUUCCACUGAUGUCCUUUUUUCUGUUUCAGGAAAUAAUCCAGAAUCCAUUUCAUGUGGUCAUCUCAUCCCCUCUGUCCCCUCCAGCCUUUCCUCAUCUUUUGUGACCCGGUCACUCCAGAAGGACUCUGGCUGGUCAGUCCACAGGAUGACCCUCCCCUGGGGCUUCUCUGAUGCUUCCUUAUGAUGGCACUGGUGUCCUGAGGGGGAGGACCACAGAGGGGAGGUGCCCCUCAUCACACCACGUGGGGUCCACACAACAGCGCCACUGCUUCCUGGGGCCCUUCACCUCCAUCACUGGCGAAGGCGUCGUCUGCCAGGAUUCUCCACUGUUGGUCGAGUUGUAUCUGGAGUCCAAGCAGGGCAAGGCUUCACGGCACGGAUCAGGAGACAGGGAGAGAGGCAGCCAGGCCAGGUCACAGGCGACCUUGACUGUGGCAUGUGAAGAGCGAUGGGCAGAUGUGGUGAGGUCAGCUGUGAAGUUCUAAAGUCUCGGUGGCAUCUUUGAGAGAGAGAGUUGCCGGGGAGAGGGAGGAAGCUGGGGUCCAGUGUUGCCAGGUGAUGGGGGAGGAAUAGGAGAGAGAAGAGGACAAUUCAAGGACAAGGGAGGAGGUAGGACACAGAGGGCUCAGUGUCAGGUACCCCGCACAGUGCUUCUCUCACUUGGAGAAGCAGGAAGUGAGGCUUAGAAAGUGCACGGCCUACGUCUUCUGAGAUGCCCCUGUGUGCUGUCUACAGAGCAGGCAACACAUGCCUGAUGGCAGCUGCAUAAAGAAAAGCAGGAGCCAGAUAUCGGCCUCAAGGGUGUGCUGGGCCUGUUCUCUGCCUCACUAAUCCUGUGCGACAGGUGAAUGUACAGGGGCCCGGGAAGCGAGGAUACUGGCCCAGGUGGCAGUCAGUUGGGGCGAAGGGAAAGAGCCUGAGUCUUUCCCCCAGAUCCUGCAGGCCCUGUGCUGAGGCAGACAAGCUGCCUCCUCUGUCCUGGCCUCCAGCCCCUGCAGACCCUGCCCGUUUCCACUUAAAAGUAGGGGAGUCUUUUGGCCUAGGUGAGGCUGGGGUGAACACGAGGGGAGCUCUGUUCUAGGUGCCUGGGUGACAAACUACUCCAAGCCUAGAGGCUUAAAACAGCAGCCAUUUUCUGCUGCUCUCCUAGUCUUUGGGUCAGGAAUUCAGCCAGAGUAUAUCAGGGUGCUUCUCCUCUGUUCUGCAAGUUCAAGAAAGCUGGGGAGACUAAGGGCUGGGUGGUGACCCUGGUGGUUCAGGCUGCUGGGGUUUGGAGGGAACUGGAGGUUUCCUCAUGCCCAAGCCUGGCACCUGGGCUUGAGUGAAAGCUGACACAGCCUCCCCGGGUGGCUUGGCCCUCCUCACAGCAUGGCAGGCUGGGCUCCAGAGGUGCAUCCUGAGGCCCAGUUCCUAGAGACCUCAUUCUUCUGACCUCAUUCCUAUGACGUUUUUUUCAAUGCAAGGAAAUCACCAAGGCCAGGCGAGGUUCAAGGCCAGGGGCAUAGGGGCGGGGAAGUUAGAGGCCACCCUUAGGCAGGGACAAGACAAGGUCAGUGCCAUUAUUUGUCCCCCAAACUCAUGUUGAAAUGGGGUCCCCAGUGUGGUGGUGGUGGUGGGAGAUGGGGCCUAGUUGGGGGUGUUUGGGUCAUGAGGCCUUCCCUCCCUCAUGAGUGGUUGGUGCUGUUCUAGGUUGUGAGCGAGUUCUCACUGGUGAGGCUGGAUGAGUUCUCACAGGAAUGCGCUCGUUCCCUCUAGAGCGGGUUGUGAUAAGGCCAGCCACCCCUCGGUUUAUCUCCCUUCACACUUGCCUGUUUUCCCUUUGACCCUGGCCAUGUUAUGAAGCAGCACAAAAGUCCUCAACAGAAGCCAGGGCCAAGGCUUUGAACUUCCUAGUCUGUUAAAGCAGCGAGCUAAAGGACCCUCUUUUCUCUAUCAAUGACCCAGCCUCAGGUACUCUUUCAUAGCAACACAAAAGGGACUAAGACAGUCACAUUGCAAAAGAGUCUCUGGGGUGGGAGGUGCUGUGUGGCCACCUCUGGAAUGCAGUCUGACCCCUGGUCCUUCAGCCCUGUGUCUGGUGUGACCCUGGAGGUAGCUGCUUCCAGGGCCACAAAGCUCCUGCAUCUCCCCCACACCCACCACCAUCGUGCAGUGCUUGUCCAAUCCAUCACUUAGUGCUCCAGCCUCAGUGUCCCUAUUUGGCAUUCCAUUCCCCACAGUGACCUGCAGGCCAGACCCUGCCCCUGGCUGGGUCUCUGAAUUCAACUAGGGACAUGCAAACUCCCACCCCCAAGAGGGUGACUUUGGAAUCAGUUCCCCAAGUUCCAGUUCCAGUGUGCCCCUCACCUGCCACACUGCCUGGAACUGGCUCUCUCUCCUCCAUGAGGCUUAGCCUCUAAGAGGCUACCCACAGGCCUGGCAGCAAGUGCCUCCCUGCAUUUUUUAUGGAAGAUCCCUCCUUUAUCUCCCCCUCCUCCCAGUCUGCACAGCGCCCACCCUCACGCCACCCUUGGCUGAAAAUUGGUGUCCAGGCCAGCCCUAGGCUUAUGCCCCACUCUGACACCUCAACUGGGCUCUGUCUCAGCCUUGCACCCAGGCCUGCCAAAUUCUAUUUUGGUUUGUAUAUCGUGCUUUUGAGAGCAUCUCCUUGUGCAGGUUUUUGAAUGGUCAUUCCAGGUAUUAGAUUAUACGUAUAUAACUUACCACAGUUAACUGAUGCUGACAUUGUAUCAGUCGGGAUGAAGUGGAGAAACCCAAGUCCUUCAUGUUCCUGUUCUCUCCUCCUUUAAAAUAUAAUUCUCUUUAAUGUUUCCUCUCCAUACAUGGACAAUCGCGUCACAGCGUUCCAAGUGUUGCUCCAAUUGUCAAGCGUAAUUUAGGAAACUCAAGAGAUGAGUGUGUUUUGUUCACUGUGUUCUUCCUUCCUUACACUGUGAGAUUCCUUCUUUUGUCUUUCUCUUUCUGUUUGCCAAACUUCCUUUAAUCACUCCUUUUUGGUAGGUCUGCUGGUAACAAAGUCUCUGUUCUUUUUUUCUUCUGCAGAUGUCUUGAUUUCCUCUUGAUUUCUGAAGGUUAUUUUCACUGGAUGUAAGAUUCUGGGCAGAGAGGUCUUUUCUUUCAGCUCUUGAAAAGUGCUGUGCCACUUCCUUUCUAUCUCCAUGGUUUCAGUGAGAAAUCUGCUGUCAUUAAAAUGGUUUUCCCUUAAAGGUAAGAUGUUGUUUCUUUCUUUUUUGUUUUUUUGGAUUGAGCCUUACUCUGUUGCCCAGGCUGGAGUGCAGUGGUGUGAUCUCAGCUCACUGAAACCUCUGCCUUCCAGAUUCAAAUGAUUCUCUUGCCUCAGCCUCCUGAGUAGCUGGGAUUACAGGUGUGCCCCACCAUGCCCGGCUGAUUUUUGUAUUUUUUUUUUUUUUCUUAAGAUGGAGUCUUACUCUGUAACCAGGCUGGAGUACAGUGUUGACAUCUUGGCUCACUGCAACCUUCCACCUCCAAGGUUCAAGAGAUUCUCCUGUCUCAGCCUCCCGAGUAGCUGGGAUUACAGGUGCGUGCCACCACGCCCAGCUAAGUUUUGUAUUUUUAGUAGAGAUGGUUUCACUGUGUUGGCCAGGAUGGUCUUGAACUCCUGACCUCAAGUGAUCUGCCCGCCUCGGCCUCCCAAAGUGCUGGGAUAGUGGGCAUGAGCCUCCGUGCCCGGCCAAGAUGUUUCUUUCUUGCCACUUUCAAGACUUUGUGUUUGUCUUUAGUUUUCAGAAGUCUCAGUAGCAGGUGUCUUGGCAGAGGUUUGCUUUGAUCGAUGCCAUUUGGGGUUUGCUCUGGUUCUUGAACCUGUAAGUCUAUGUCUUUUGCCAAAUUUAGGAAAUUUCCAACCAUUAAUUCCUUGAAAAAUCUUUUCGGCUCCACUCUCAUCUUUCUUUCUUUCUUGGUCUCUCAUAACUUGACUGUUAGAUCUUUUGUUAUGGAUAGACCAAAAUGUAUAUAGAGCAAAAUAUAUAUAUCUGAGAUUCUGCUCAUUUUUACCUCAAUCUAUUUUUUGCUUUGUUGUCCAAAUUGAGUAAUUUCUAUUAUUUUAUCUUUAGAUUCACUGACUCCUCCUCCAUCCUUUCUAUUCUGGCGUUGAGCCAUCCACUGAGUUAAUUUGGUUAUUGUGUUUUCAACCCUGAGUUCCCAUUUGGUUCUUCUUUGUGGCUUGUUUCUCUGCAGAGAUUUCCUGUUUUCUCACUUGAUUCUGUUGUGUUUGCUGUUAAGCGUUUUUGUGAUGGUGGCUUCAAAUUGUGUUCAGAUGAUGCUGCCGUUGGUGUCAUCCUGGGUUAGUCUCUGUGUCUCUUCUCAUCUGGGUUGGUGUUUCCUGGAUCCUGGUGUGGAGUUAUUUGCAAUUGAAGCCUGGAUAUCAGGGGUUAUACGAUGGGCUUUGGUCCUUAUUUAAACCUCUGUCUCAGCCCAGGCUGUGGUGAACGUCCCUGCCCCUAGUUGGGCAGCUCUGAUCCCUUCCCAAAGAGUGGGUGGCACGUCAGUCAGUACAUCUGGAUGAAGCUGGAGGCCUAGGCUCCCUCCUCAGUCUCUGCUGGCCAGGGUCAGGUGGGGGCUGGUCUUUUCCUGUGUGGUCUGAUGGCAUAGGUCAGUUGUCAUCUAAAGUGUUCUGGAAUGCCCCAUGCCUAGCUAGAGGGAGCAGGUUUUUCUUGGGGAUUGUUUUCCAAGCCCGUUGGUGUUUCUGGGUUACUGACUCUUUAGCACCCAGUUUGGGAUACACGAAGCAAAAAGAAAGCCCAUGGAAUUUACCAGUGUGCUGUUGCCAGGUCCUGAGACUCCUGGGUGCUCGUUCUCUCCACCUCUCAGGGCCUUCUUGUAUUCAUUCUACACAGAAUAUCCAUGACUUUAGCUAUAUUUGGUGGAGGGAACUAAGAAAAAGUACCUUGACUUCUUCCAUAUUUCUGGUUGAAGAAGUUCCAGUGGGUAAAGCCCUUUGAAAUUGUACUCUUGCACCGUGCUCUACCCCAGCCUCCUUCAAGAUUCUGAGCUGUGCACUGCUGCUAUUCAUACUACUUGUCAGCUCUGCUUGUCCAACUCUUGUGAAAAGUCUAAACAUGACAUUGGGUGAUACCCUGGGGUGCACAGAGCAGAAAGCCAAGCUCUCAGGAGAGGUCCCUUGGAUCCAAGAGGGUGGGCAGGGGCUGGAAGCAGGGAAGCUGGGAUGGGGCUGGGCUGAGGUCUGGGGAGGUCUGGGUCCGGGCCAGAGGAAAGCCAGUCCUUGGAUCUACCAACACCCACAGCCAAUCCACACUAAUUCUAUGUAUUCAUGAGUUUUUCUCUAAAACUCUUCUUCCCAGUUUCCCCCAAACCAUUCACUUCAUCUAGGCCAGGGUCCACCCUCUGCCCCUCUGCUGUGCUCAUGGGAACUUCUUUUUUUUUCUUAACUUCCAAGACAAGUGAGCUCAUGGAAACUUCUCCAUUGUUGACUAGGACCUAUAGGAAAACCCUCCUCUUCUUCUAUAUGCAGAGGCUGCACAGCUCCUGGUUUAUUUGCAUCUCUCCAGACCUACAUGACCACAUGGCGCCUGCAGCUCUGAGGGCAUUUUAAAUCAUCAUAGAAUAACAAGCGUACAAGCAUGAUGAGUGCCCCUGGACCUCUGACAUGCCUUGCUGGAGACCUGCCAGGCCCACAUUUUAAUUUACGUGAACUCGAUGCCCUCUUUGACAGGGAGAGACCUGCUUCUUUAUUUGUUAGCCUUUCUCCUGGACCUGCUAGAUCUGGACCAUCCCUGGGAAAGGAAGGUCACACCACAAAGGUAAAUAAAAACAAAAUGAGUUAAUUAGGAAGGAGUUAAUUUGAAAUUAAAUAUUCCCAAGAGUCCAGGCCCUUCCGUUUUAAGGAAAUUUUUCUCCCCUUUAAAAUAGAACUGUUGGGUAAAAUGAAAUUCCAUUGUAUAUGGUCUCACUUAGAAUUUCUGUCCCAUUUCACAAAUGCAAACACCAAGGCUCUUUGGGGUGAGAGAUUUGCUACACCAGGCCCUGACAGGCACAACCAAUGAUCAUCAGCUCAGGGUAUGUCUGCUGGCUUCACAGUUGCCCUGCUAUUCUGUAGUCCAAUGUGGCUGCUCUAGCUCCAGUCAUCAAGUCUGCAUUCUCACCAGUGGGAAGGGCAAAGCAUGACCUUUCUUUUUAAGAAAACAUUUGAAAUUGCACACAUUUCUGCUCAUGUUUUACUGGUUGGCAUUUAAAUGGAUGGGCGUACCUAGCUGCAGGGAAGGCUAUAGCAGUCUUCAUUCUGGAAGGCUGUAUACUCAGCUAAAAAUCUAGUUUUAUUUUUAUGAGAGAAGUUGAGCAUGGAUAUUAGAGGGACAAUGAAUCAUUUCCACUUCAUCUUCUAAUAAAUGUGACAAGAGCAAUGCUUUUUAUAUUUUGUAUAUUGACUCAAUCCAGAACACACUGGGCAUCUCUCCUGUAUGAGGCCUGGGCUUGAGCUCAAUGGGAGAUGCACAUAUGUGUGAGACUAAAUGGCACGGAGAGGCCAGAAAAGAGAACAAGUGACAUUUAUUGAAGACUUACCACGUCCUGGGCCAAGAGCUCUGCAUACGUCAGUUGCUUUUCAUCUUUACAACUCAGUAAAUCUGCAGAAACUGAGUUGUACAUCUACAGAAACUGAGUUUCAGAGAGACGAAGUGUGUCUUAGGUCUGGUUCCCAGGGAAACAAACUGUGAGAUGAAGAUUUGCGUGCAGAAAGUUUAUUAGGGAGUAAACUCAGGCUUGACACUGGUGAGGGAGUGAGGGAAGGGGGACUGGGCAGAGGGAGAAGUUGAGCAGCAGUGAAGAUGAAACAGAAGGCUCAGCCAUUCUCACCUGAAAGGCCCUUCAGAGUGGUUCUUUUUUUUUUUUUUUUUUUAGAGAUGGAGUCUUACUCUGUCACCCAGGCUGGAGGCAGUGGCACAAUCUCAGCUCACUGCUACCUCUGCCUCCCGGGUUGAAGCGAUUCUGCUGCCUCAGCCUCCUGAGUAGCUGGGAUUACAGGUGUACACUAUCAUGCCCAGCUAAUUUUUGUAUUUUUAGUAGAGACGGGGUUUCACCAUCUUGGCCAGGCUGGUCUCGAAAUACUGACCUUGUGAUCUACCUGCCUUGCCCUCCCAAAGUGCUGGGAUUACAGGCGGGAGCCACCACGCCCAGCCAUGGUUCUUAAUUUCUAAUUAAGGGGUCAGGACUCUGUACCCUCUCACCAGCCAGGCACUGGAUAUGGGAUGCCUAACCCUAAAGCCCCCUUCCUUCCAGCAGGGGCAGUACCCAGGGAUGCAGCUGUCAACCUUCAGCCUUCAACAUUCCCAGACGCCUUGGUCCAGAAGUAGGGGUCUGGGCUGCACAGGACAGUGUCUUCUAUGAAAUGACACAGUCAAGGUCACAUAGCUUGGGGUUCAGUGCUGAGAUUCCAGUUUAGUUCUGUCUCCAGAAUCCAUGCAGCUCCUCAUAUUCCUUGCUGCUGUACAGGGGACUGCCCAGGGGCGGACAGGACUUGCAGGGGAGUUAGCUUGGAGGCUGGACCCUCCCCUGGCACAUUGCCCCUGAAGAUGCAAGAGAAGGCCCUCCUUCACAGCUCUGGGGCCCCAUUUCACCCCUUCCUCUUCACCCUGCUCAGUGUGCUCCAGCCAUACUGCCCUCUUCACCGCUCCUCUGACAGUCCACACUAUCUCCAGAUGCAGGGAAGUCCACGCGCAGCUCCUUUCCCUGGGAACACACCUCCUCCAGCCUCACACACGGGCUGCUACCUGUGACUUGAGUCCCACUGAAAUGCCACCUUCCCUGACCACCUUUUGACAUUGUCUCCCUGCCCUAGUCCCUCUGGUCCCUAUUAACUGUCAUGCUAGUCCCCAGGAUUUCGGAGCCCCUCUCUAGAAUGAUCUUUCAUUAGAUUUCAUGUGUACACUCCGUCCCCACUAGCACGUAAGCUCAGUGAGGGCAGAGAUCUUGUCUGUCCUGCUUACCGCUGUCUCCCUAGCACCUAGCCCAGUGUCUGGCACAUAGUAGGUAUUCUAUAAAUAUGAGUUAGAUAAUGAAAUGAAAAAAUAAAUGCAUGAAAAGGAUAAAAAUCACCCUAAUCCAGAGCAGAAAGAACUUGGGCCUUCAAGGGACUGCCUAGAUUUGGGGGGUGUUUGAAGGGAGCAAUUCUUUCCUUCCAGCUGCCCCAAGGAGACACAGCAGAGUCAGCCUCAGUUUCUCCAGCUGUAAGCAAGGGAAUGGGGCUGGCUUCCUACCUUCUAGGAAGCACCUGGGGUUCUUGGAUGGUGUGUGUGGCAGGAUCGUGUCAGCACGGUUUCUUCUGAGGGCCCUCUCUCCUUUGCUUGCAGGGGGCUUUCUCCUCCUCCCGGGUCUUCACCUGCUCAUUCCCCUUUGUGUGUCUGUGUCCAGAUCUCUUCUUACAAGAACACCAGUUAUACUGGGUUAUGAGCCGCUCGUUUUAACCUAAGUACCUCUUUACUGACUGUGCAGGAGUCCUCCUGAUCUGCGAGGGUGGAUGUUAGAGACCUUGGAUAGUGCUGAACUUUUGCUACACAUGCCAACCUAUGAUAAAGUGUAAUUUAUGAAUUAGGCACACUGAGAGAUUAACAAUAGCAACCACUAAUACAAUAGAGCAGUAAUAAGGGUUACAGAAGUGUGGCCUCUCUCACUCUAAACGCCCUAUUGUGCCACACUUACCUUUUCUGUGAGGCUGUGAGAUGACACAAUACCUUUGUGAGUGAGUGACGUGGCACUGUGACAGUGUCAGGCUGCUGCAGACCUUCUGAUGACAUGUACGUCAGAGGGAGGGUCACCUGCUGUGGGGACCCUGGCCAUUGAGCCAUGAUGACACUGCAGGCUGGAUGUCAGGAACAGACAAUGUUGAUGACUCACAGGUAGGGGAGUUGCAGGUACAGCAUAGACACUGGACAGCAGAAUGAUUCACACCCAAGCCGGAUGGGGCUGCACUCAGUGGGGUUUUUAAGUUUACUCCGCAGAAUGGUGUGCAAUUUAAAAGUUAUGAAUAGUUUGCUUCUGGAAUUUUCUUUGUUCUUCUUCUUCUUUUUUUUUUUUUUUUGAGACAGGGUCUUGCUUUGUCACCCAGGCUUAAGUGAUCCUUCCAGGCUCAAGCGAUCCUCCCACCUCUGUCUUCUGAGUAGCUGGGACCACAGGCGCACACGACCAUGCUGGGCUAGUUUUUAGAUUUUAAACUUUUUCUAGAGAUGGGGUCUUGCUAUGUCGCCCAGGCUGUGGCAUUUUCCAUUUAAUAUGUUCAGAUGUGAUUGACUAUAGGUAACUAAAAUUUCAGAAAGCAAAACAGCAGAGAAGUAGGGACUAUUGCAUCUCCAAGCACAAUCCCAUUCUGGGGUACUUGGCAUAGAGGUCAGUGUGUGAAUUUUGGGGCCACCAUGUAGCCUGUGAGAUGGGGUGCCAGGCCAUCCCGAAGACCGGGAGAAGCAGGAGGCCCUGGCAUUUCCACCUAUUUAUUUAUUGGAGGAUCUUGGCAUAGUAAAAAAUGAAGGCAUGUCUCAAUGGCCUAAAUAAAUGGGUCUGUAUUUUAAGUGGUCACUUCAACAAGUUAGUACUUUAAACAGGUAAUGCACCACAAUUGAACAAAUCACAAGAUAAUUGCAAUAUUAUUAACCAAAAUGUUCAUUUACUGCAUUAUCUGUUCUGGUCAUGGGACAUAACUUUUCAGUUUUGCGAUGAGCGGCUUUGUCUUUUAUGCAUCUCCACAUUCAGGGACAAAAUAUUCUAACUUCUGACUCCUUGAGUCAGGGCACUGCCAGGCGCACAGUGGGCGCAACCUCCCUCACCUCCUUUUCUGCAGCCUGCCAAGCCUCUGCCUGGGCGCACAGUCCUACAGCCCAGCCUCUGCGGAGUGGGCGGGGAGCGAGGCCUCGCUUGGGUAGCAUUGCCAUGGCAACCUCUCCCCACGCCGCUCCUCGCUGAGACCCGGGCAUCUGUGGCCAUGGCGACUGGGCCCGCCACUGGCACAUCUGCAUAGCAACCAGAGAGGGCGCGGAGCGCAGCUGGGCCCCGCUCAGGAAAGCAGGUACACUCAGAGCUUUUAUCAAUCAUUAAGGAGAAGCCGGGUGCCUCUGUGGAAAAAGGACAAAGGACGCAGACAAAAGACUUGGAACCGCAAGUGGCUAAUAAAUCUAUGACAAGUGCUCAACAUUACCAGUGAUCAUAGAAAUGCAAAUGCAAACAACAAUAAGAUACUUAAAGAAAAACGACAACAACUAGUGCAAUUGGCAAGAGAUGAGGCACCAAAGAGAUAGGACCCAGAGUUGGGGGUGUGUAGGGAAUGGGGACUCAAACACCCUGCUGCUCUGAGUGCACAUUCGUGGAACAUUUCUAAGAAGGCAAUUUGCAAUCUGUAUCAAAAGCCUUUAAAAUGCACAUACCUUUUGAACUAACAAUUCCAGUUGUAGUAAUUUAUUCCAAGGUAAUAAUUAAAUGAGUAAAGAUUCAGAUCCUAGUGUGUUCCCUGUAGGAGCAAUUAUAAUAGCAAAAACUUUGAAACAACCACAAUCUGAAAAAAAAAGACAAUUGAUUAAAUCAUCUAUUUUGCAUACAUAUAAGGGAAUGCUAUGCAACCAUUAAGAAAUGUUAUAGAAGACUACUUAGAGGUGCAGAACGAUAGUUAACAAUAGCAUAUUGUAAAACAGAUUAUAAAACAGAUGUAUAGUGCUGCUCAGGGUCCUCCUCCCAACAUCUCCAGUCAUCAGCCUCCUCUGCACCCAGGGGAGAGUGUCAAGGCUCAGCAGAACACUGCCGAAGGUUCCUAGAGAGAGCGGCUGGAAGUUUCUGUGCACAUGAGUGCACGUCUGAGUGUGCACCUUGGGGAGAAGCACAGUUCAGGGCUGCAGGCCUGGGAAGCCCAGGUUGUCUCCUGACACCACGUAAUUGUGUGACUUGUGGACAGCCCUUCCUGGAGAGCUUGUCAGGUUGAGGAAGUCGCUGCUGUCCUGGCCCCCCCAUCCCAGGCUGUCUGUUCCCAAGCCAGACAUCAUCUCUCAGUUGGGUCAAGGGGAUGAACCAUGAAGAGUCAAAUAAUUUUUUCAAGGCAACCAUCCAGAUUUGAAGCCUUGCCUGCAUGAAGAAAAUCAACUUCAACAUAAGGCAUUUUUUAAAAAUUCAAAAACUUUUCUGUUGUAGUAAAAUACACAUAAGAAAACUGUCCAUUUUAACCAUUGUUAAGUGUACAGCUCAGUGUGCACCCAUCAUCACCAUACGUCUCCAGAACUUUCUCUUCCCAACGGAAACUCUGUACCCGUUAAACACUAACUCCCGUUUCUCCUCCCACCAGUCCCCCUAGCAACCACUAUUUUGCUUUCUGAUUCUGACCACUGUAAGAACCUCAUAUAAGUGAGAUCAUUAAGUAUUUGUCAUUCGGUGACUGGUUUAUUCAGUUAGUACAGUUUUCAGGGUUCAUCCAUGUUGUAGCAUGUGUUAGAGAUUCCCUCCCUUUUAAGGCUAAAUAUUUAACAUUCUGUUGUGUGCAUAUACUACAUUUUGUUAAUCCAUUCCUCUGACAAUAGACACUUGGAUUGCUUCCACCUUUUGGCUGUUGUGAAUAUUGCUGCUGUGAACAUGAGUGUGCAAUUAUCUCUUUGAGACUCAAUGUAGGACAUUUCCAAUGAAGAUCCAUCCUGUGGAGUGAAGCUAGAGAGGCUGUCAGGGAUGGGCUUUGCUAUCUCCAUGUAGAGAAGUUGUCACUGUACGGAUCCGUUGGAGAAGAACCAGGCAAACCAGAAGACACACGUGAAGGAAGUGGCAUUCAUCCAGAUGGAAGCGCCACUCACCAGAGAGCUGGGAAGACAGUGAGGUAAAGAGUUUUGUGCAUCUCUUCUUCCUACUUACAUACUCAAUGUGUUCACAGAUUGCAGCAUAACUUAAACAGUUAUCAGAAAAGUAAAGAGUGAGAAGCCAUAUAGAAAUAAUGAGAGUGAGAAACCUCUCAGAGCAUAUACUUAAUUUGGCAUAAAAGAACUCAAAUAGAAGACAAACCCUGUGGAAUUUACAAACAGUGUUCAAUUUGGCAGCCACAGUACAUGUAUGCAUGAGACAGUUCUUAGGGAGGAAAAUAUUGUAUACAAGGUCUAUGGGCAAGUGUGGAGCUACAGUAUAUCCCUCAGUGGAUGCCAGAGAAUUUGUGUGGAAGAAAGUCUAUAUGCAUGACAUGUGAACUCCAUCUGAAGUCUUUUGUGCUAUUUGUGACCUGAUCUUUAUGUGAUUCACAUGGUCACCCCCCUUUUCUGGCUCCUGCUAGCUCAUGGUUUGUCUCCUCUAUCUCUAUUAGUGUUGAGCUCUUGUAUCUACUUUGUACUCUUGUUUUAUACUGGCAGUGACUUCAUUAUGCUUUGGUAAUUUUUAAAGUAAAUUAGUAUCUGUAUUCUGCUGCUCAGGAGUGAUAUAUUUUCUAAUGAAUGAUAUAUAUCUGCCAUUUGGUUUUCUGUGACAUUUCUCAUUUUUUAGUUAUCUCAAUAGCUUUAUUAAAAUAACUAAAAUAUGAGAUAACUUUAAUAAUUAUCUAGUACCUAACUACAGUCAUGUGUCACUUAACAGUGGGGAUAUAUUCUGAGAAAUGCAUCCUUAGGCAAUUUCAUUACUGUGCAAAGAGUGUCCUUAUACAACCUAGAUGGCCUAGCCUAUACACCUGGGCUAUAUGGGAUAGCUUGUUGCUCCUAGGCUACAAACCUGUACAUGUGCAACUAUACUGAGUACUGUGGGCAAUUGUAACAUAGCACCUUUUAUUUAUCUAAACAUGGCUAAACAUAGAAAACAGACAUCUUUAGAAAGUAUAAAUUUCAGCCUGGCAUGGUGGCUCAUGCCUGUAAUCCCAGCACUUUGGGUGGCUGAGGUGGGCAGAUCACCUGAGGUCAGGAGUUUGAGACCAGUCUGGCCAACAUGGUGAAACCCUGUCUCUACUUAAAACACACAACAAUUAGCUGGGUGUGGUGGUGCACUUCUGUAAUCCCAGCUACUCAGGAGGGAGGCAGAGGUUGCAGUGAGCUGAGAUCAUGCCAUUGCAUUCCAGCCUGGACAACAGAGUGAGACUCCAUCUCAAAAAAACCAAAACAAAAAAGGGCCAGGCGUGGUGGCUCACGCCUGUAAUUCCAGCACUUUGGGAGGCUGAGGCAGGUGGAUCAUCUUAGGUCAGAAGUUCAAGACCAGCCUGGCCAACUUGAUGAAACCAUGUCUCUACUAAAAAUACAAAAAGUUAGCAGGGUGUGGUGGUGGGGGCUUGUAAUCCUGGCUACUCAGGAGACUGAGGCAGGAGAAUCACUUGAACCCAGGAGGUGGAGGUUGCAGUGAGCUGAGAUUGCACUUUAACCUGGGCAACAAGAACUCCAUCUCGAAAAAAAGAAAAUAUAAAUUCCAAGAAAAAAUUCCAGGUUGUUCACUGAGGUUAAAUGUAAACGGUACUAUUUCACCUUAGAAGACUGGGUGAUGUCAUCACCAUAGCAUGUUACUAUUUUCAUACUCUAGCAAUCUGUCUUCUUAGUUCCAAAGCUCAGGAACCAACUUCCGCAGAUAUACUCAGAAAUAGAGCUUGUUAAAAGGAUACUGGGUACCUCAGAGAUUUACAAAAAAAUCUGCAUAAUCAUUUUCAUUUUCAGGGACAAGUCUUUGGAUAUCACUCCCAGAAUCCUGCUGUGGAACCUGAGACUGUGCCUUGGCCCCCUAUGUGCAUGUGGGUCUGGCAGAGCCUGGAUCAUGUGCCCUUGCUGGAGGCAGGUCGCCAAGGGAGAUCCCAGGGUUCUCAGCUGCUUCCAAAGGAGUGAGCAGGCUCUGCCUCCCAAUCAAAACCCAUGGACUGGUGACUUGCCACUCGUAAAAGGGUGAUUUAUUUGCUAAGCAGCAAAGCAAACAAACAAACAAAUGGCAUGCAUUUUCUUCCCAAACUUUCACACAUUUAAAUAUACGUGUGGAUGUGCUGUACAACUUCCUUAUUACUGAACUUACUCUCCCUUUAAAAAGAAGGUCUCCCAAAGUUUCGAAAGGUAAGAAUCUAUGUCCAAGAUCAGCAUCUAAGGAACAUGCCCAUCCCUUCUAUGAUGAAAUUUCUUUAAACACAGAAAAAAGUUCAGAUGCUGAGUAUCCGAUAGGAGAAUCUUAAAACCAGGUCUCAUCACCAGUCUGAAAGCAAGGCUUUGGGUGGGUUUUUCUAGUACAGUUUUUGAGGAGACUUUCUUUAAAAGAGUUUUUAUAUGCUGUAAAUGAGUUGGUGAAGGAAUAAGUUGUUCAGUUGACUAAGAUGAUUUUCAUCCUUGCUUGUAGAUCUUUUUGCAUCUGACAAAAUCGGCAACUUUGUGUUUGCUAUAAGAAUUAUUUUGUUCCAUAAAAACGAUCAUUUGACUUUUCUUACGCAGUUCUUGGUGCUGUAAGAAUAAGAUAAAAUAGCUCAUGUUAUGCAAAAAGACAGAUGAACCUGUAACCCACUGGGGGUGCGACUAUGGCCAUGAUGGCGUUUAAGGUAGCAGCAUCACCUGUGCUUUUAUCUUAGCAUGUGCUUUUUCUCCUGAAUAUUCACUCUAAGGCAUGAAGUUCUCUGUGAUGGCUGCCUCCCUCUCCCACUGAUAAUUCCUGGGACCUGGAUGUUAGGUCAAGUUCUUGAAACUUGGCCAUUUCCUUGGGUUCUCCUUCUUUUCCCAGGUGGUAUAAGUUUACUCUCUGAUGAUGUUGACUUAGUUCUGGUUUGUUGGUAUCUGGGAGGCCAAGUGGCUGGAGACACCAGUGGUCAUGGUAGAUCUGGCUGGCAUCUGACCAUCAGCCGUCUUCUCUCUCCUUCAUGCACUGCGCUUGCGCUGCUCCCACUUGCCCGCCUCCAUCUCUUGCCUUUCCUUCUGAGAGGCACUACUCCUGACAGUCACUUUCUGGCUAUAUGCAACUUUUGAUAGGGGUAACGUACUGACUCCAGUGCUCUGAGAAUAUAUUGAGGUCUUGCCAAGAACCUGGGUUGGUAGUGUACUCUUUCAUAAAAUAUAAUAUGGGUUAUAUUAUAGGACUGUAAGUGGGAUGUGCUGAAAUUCUAGUAGUGAGACUUGAGUCAACGACAAGGAACCAAGCUUACCUAGAGGCUGGAGGAAAAUUUUGGUGAACUCUCAAAGGUGAUUUGGAGAAAGCUGCUGUGUUCUCUUAUGUGGCAGUCUUCUCCUUGUGUAUUUCCUUGUGCAGACAUGGGGCUGUGCUCAGGUGAUGGUGACAGUGGAGCUUAUCUGGACUUGUGAGCAAUGCAGCCACCUCCAGGACAUGUCCCUGAGAAGAGGGACGCUCAGUCCCUGUAGCAUCCCAUGCAGUGUGUUCUCCAUCAGCAUCUGACAUCUACUUGUGUCUCUCCCACCCAGAUGGGAAGCUGAGGUGACUUGUAUUCAGAAUACUUCUCUUUGUUUUGCUGGAUAGAAUCUGAUUGUAUUUUUAAAAUAUAAAAUUUGGUCUGGACAUGGUGGCUUAUACCUGUAAUCCAAGCACUUUGAGAGGUCAAGGUGGGAGGAUUGCUUGAGCCCAGAAGUUUGAUGCCAGCCUGGGCAACAUAGUGAGACCCUGUUUUUACGAAAAUAAAAGAAUUAGCAGGGUGUGGUGGCACAUAAGUGUGGUCCCAGCUCCUUGGGAGGCUGAGGUGAGUGGAUCACUUGAGCCCCGGGAGGUGGAAACUUCAGUGAGCUAUUAUGGCACCACUGCACUCCAGC